rnacentral:tRNA from 1 species
GCCUGAGUGGUGGAAUUGGUAGACACGUCGGAUUUAGAUUCCGAUGCUUAUAGCGCGAAGGUCCAAGUCCUUUCUCAGGUACCA